GCCGUAUCCUGCCGCCCGUUUUACCCGCGGGAAAGCCGAGGCCCGGUGCUGUAUUCUGCCGCCCAUUUUACCCGCGGGGAAGCUGAGGCCCAGUGCUGUUUAAUAUCUUACUCAUGUUCACUUGAUGAGAAAGUGACAGAUCUGAGACAAACCCAGUUCUAGAGGUUAUGACACCAGCCAUGGAAGAGCAGAGAGGCCAAUGAGGUGGGGAGGUUGGAAACAAAAGGCCUUCUCCACCCCAGCUUGACCAACCCAAAAGCUGGAAGGCAAGGAAGACCUAGAUCGACAGAAAAGAAAUGAGUCAACGAUGGUGCAGGUGAUCUGUGCAGUGCUGUGCAGGGGAUGGGUCAAAGCUGUGAUGCUGGCAUGCAACUAACUCACCAUUGUGAGCCAAUCACAAAAGCAGAAACUUGGCCAAGCUGAAAGGGACCAGCUUGACGAAGCUUCUGCUUUUGUGACUGUCUCCUAAUGGAUCUGGGGGUUUCUUCAAGCUCCCAGACUUGCUCAGGCACAUUGCAAAUAGCCAUGAUUUGAGAUGAUUUUCUUUAAUGCUGAAGCAGAUGAAGAACCCAGGUUCUUUUUAGUGGCAAGGCUUGUUUAUCAGCAGCUAUACAGCUAUGGGCACAGACACAGGUAAACAGCACAGAUGCUGGGAGAGGGCUGGCAUCUGACCGUGACCAUCACGCCCAUGUGACAAAGGAUGUCACCACAGUGAACAGUUCUGACCACAGUGGCUUUUCACCUGCUUCGUUAAAUUUAACUCACACCGGCUCAGAGGACAAUUUGAUUCAUUCUGUAUCUCAGCAGAAACCAGAGCACCUCAGAAGAUCAAGGCUUCCAAAUUCUCCUGGGGGAACAGACGUCAGCCAUUCAGCACAAAGGAAACUUCCUUCUCUGUAUGUCAGAGGAAGACAUAAUUGUGCCAUUUCCUUCUUGAAGAAGUUUACAAACAUUUGCAAGUUGUCAAAAAUAAUUAGUCUAAAAUUGUUUCAUAAACCGUGGAAUGAAACAGGACGUGCCUUGUUGAGAUCAAAGGGCUUCUGUUACCUUCUUGUAAACUCAAAUGAAAUUCUUUUGAAAGUAAA
rnacentral:lncRNA from 1 species